AGUGAACGCUGGCGGUAGGCCUAACACUUGCAAGUCGAACGGCAGCACAGGAGAGCUUGCUCUCUGGGUGGCGAGUGGCGGACGGGUGAGGAAUACAUCGGAAUCUACUUUUUCGUGGGGGAUAACGCAGGGAAACUUACGCUAAUACCGCAUACGACCUACGGGUGAAAGCAGGGGACCUUCGGGCCUUGCGCGAUUGAAUGAGCCAAUGUCGGAUUAGCUAGUUGGCGGGGUAAAGGCCCACCAAGGCGACGAUCCGUAGCUGGUCUGAGAGGAUGAUCAGCCACACUGGAACUGAGACACGGUCCAGACUCCUACGGGAGGCAGCAGUGGGGAAUAUUGGACAAUGGGCGCAAGCCUGAUCCAGCCAUACCGCGUGGGUGAAGAAGGCCUUCGGGUUGUAAAGCCCUUUUGUUGGGAAAGAAAUCCAGCUGGCUAAUACCCGGUUGGGAUGACGGUACCCAAAGAAUAAGCACCGGCUAACUUCGUGCCAGCCGCCGCCGUAA
rnacentral:rRNA from 1 species